rnacentral:rRNA from 1 species
GGAGUUAGCCGGUGCUUCUUCUGUGAGUGAUGUCCUUCCUGCCGGUUAUUGACCCGCAGGCCUUCUUCCUCACUGAAAGUGCUUUACAACCCGAAGGCCUUCUUCACACACGCGGCAUGGCUGGAUCAGGGUUGCCCCCAUUGUCCAAUAUUCCCCACUGCUGCCUCCCGUAGGAGUCUGGGCCGUGUCUCAGUCCCAGUGUGGCUGAUCAUCCUCUCAGACCAGCUACGGAUCGUCGCCUUGGUGAGCCGUUACCUCACCAACCAGCUAAUCCGACAUAGGCUCAUCCGAUAGCGCGAGGCCCGAAGGUCCCCCGCUUUCCCCCGUAGGGCGUAUGCGGUAUUAGCCUGGGUUUCCCCAGGUUAUCCCCCACUACCGGGCAGAUUCCUAUGCAUUACUCACCCGUCCGCCGCUCGCCACCAGGGAGCAAGCUCCCCGUGCUGCCGCUCGACUUGCAUGUGUUAGGCCUGCCGCCAGCGUUCAAUCUGAGCCAUAAUCGAACCCUGA